rnacentral:rRNA from 1 species
GACGAACGCUGGCGGCGUGCCUAACACAUGCAAGUUGAGCGACGAACCAGGGCUUGCCCUGGGGCAAAGCAGCGAACGGGUGAGUAACACGUGGAUAACGUACCCCGAUAACCGGGACAACCCGAGGAAACUCGAGCUAAUACCGGAUGUUCUUACUACACAUCAGUGAAGUAAGUAAAGGAAGCUUCGGCCUCCGUAUUGGGAGCGGUCCGCGGCCCAUUAGCUAGUUGGUGAGGUAACGGCUCACCAAGGCAACGAUGGGUAGCUGGUCUGAGAGGACGAUCAGCCACACUGGGACUGAGACACGGCCCAGACACCUACGGGUGGCAG